rnacentral:tRNA from 1 species
UUUGCAGUAACUUAAAAAAGUAUUUAACUGUUAAUUAAAAUAAAUAUAGGUUAAAAUCCUAUCUGCAAAG